rnacentral:lncRNA from 1 species
GCCAGGUAUUCUGUCGAUUUCCUGUCGGACUUUAAAAAACACUAAUAUAUUACAUAAUUACGUAAUGCAGGUUCAUGCAUCGCGUCACUGCUGCCAAUAUAAACUACUGUCACGGUAUAUAUCAGUAUAAUUACUUUAGAUGUAUGUUUCAUUAUAAUACUGUAUUCUGAUUGGCUAACUGCACAUCAUGUGUUAUUCCUUCAGCAAUUG